rnacentral:antisense_RNA from 1 species
GGGAUCCUGCGGCCUCCUCCAGGUCUGGACGCAGGGAGGGGUGAGACUGUUCUGGCCAAAGAGACUGGAGAUCCAGUAUCAGCAAGCUACCUUCUUGGUAAACCUCCAUUUCCCAAUGCUCAUCUUUGUCCUCUACCCCCACCCAUCCCAAGGCAAAUGAUGAAAACAUCUAUUGGAUCCAGCCUUUGCUAUCUUCUCCAUGCUGCUCAUAGUGGGUCUAGCAAUGUCCCAUUCUCGGUAAUGUUUGGUAGGUCUAAAACAUCCUCACGAAAUGUUCCCCAAAUGUUCUGCUCCAGCUGAGCAACUAAUAACAAUGGGAAGAUGCAGAAAAAAAAAUGCAUGGAGCAUAAUGUUAGUUUUGGGACUGGUCAGUGGCAACGUUUUAGAGAUGCCACGAAGAAUUCCUGGUAAUAAUGCUUUUUCCUACAGCAUUUAGCACUGAAUACUAUGGGAUUACGGCUAAAAGAUGGUCAAGACUGCCUCAGCCAUUAGGAUCAGAAUUCUAAGUUCCAAAGAAGAGCAAACUCAAGAGGAUUUCCUCAGGCCUCUGCCUAUAGAUGCUGCCCGGGGAGAACAGGUGCUACACUCAAAACAUUCUCAUUUUAUUUAUAUCCUCCCUGAACUAGUACCCAACUCCAUAACCCCAGACUCAAAUAACAGAAAUAAAAGCCAUCUCACU